UGAUGAUGAUGAGGAUGAUGAUGAUAUUGAUGAUGAUGAUGAUGACGACGAUAAUGAUCACCAUCAUCAUCACUAUCAUCGUCAUUAUCGUGG
rnacentral:pre_miRNA from 1 species